AGAGUUUGAUCGUGGCUCAGGAUGAACGCUGGCGGCGUGCCUAACACAUGCAAGUCGAGCGAUUCUCUUCGGAGAAGAGCGGCGGACGGGUGAGUAACGCGUGGGUAACCUGCCCUGUACACACGGAUAACAUACCGAAAGGUAUGCUAAUACGGGAUAAUGUGCUUUUAUCGCAUGGUAGAAGUAUCAAAGCUCCGGCGGUACAGGAUGGACCCGCGUCUGAUUAGCUAGUUGGUAAGGUAACGGCUUACCAAGGCGACGAUCAGUAGCCGACCUGAGAGGGUGAUCGGCCACAUUGGAACUGAGACACGGUCCAAACUCCUACGGGAGGCAGCAGUGGGGAAUAUUGCACAAUGGGCGAAAGCCUGAUGCAGCAACGCCGCGUGAGCGAUGAAGGCCUUCGGGUCGUAAAGCUCUGUCCUCAAGGAAGAUAAUGACGGUACUUGAGGAGGAAGCCCCGGCUAACUACGUGCCAGCAGCCGCGGUAAUACGUAGGGGGCUAGCGUUAUCCGGAAUUACUGGGCGUAAAGGGUGCGUAGGUGGUUUCUUAAGUCAGAAGUGAAAGGCUACGGCUCAACCGUAGUAAGCUUUUGAAACUGAGAAACUUGAGUGCAGGAGAGGAGAGUAGAAUUCCUAGUGUAGCGGUGAAAUGCGUAGAUAUUAGGAGGAAUACCAGUUGCGAAGGCGGCUCUCUGGACUGUAACUGACACUGAGGCACGAAAGCGUGGGGAGCAAACAGGAUUAGAUACCCUGGUAGUCCACGCCGUAAACGAUGAGUACUAGCUGUCGGAGGUUACCCCCUUCGGUGGCGCAGCUAACGCAUUAAGUACUCCGCCUGGGAAGUACGCUCGCAAGAGUGAAACUCAAAGGAAUUGACGG
rnacentral:rRNA from 1 species